rnacentral:misc_RNA from 1 species
CCUAUACGGCCAGAUGUUUAACCAUGAAUGGCAGGACAUACCCGGCUCUUACUGUGGCGAAGGAAAAAUUUGCUUUAAACAAACUUGUACCACGUUUGAGGAUGCCAGACAAACCCCCAAAUUCAUCAGACCAGGAGGGUGGGGUCCUUUGGGGCGUGGCAGUCCUGCUGCAGAACAUGUGGGGUGGGAGUAACAUACAGACGCCGAAGAUGCAACAAUCCAAGAUCUUUGGGUGUGACGAUGCUUUCCUGGGAGGGACAAAAGAAUUUGAUGAAUGUGGUGUUUGUGGUGGGGAUGGGUCCACAUGUGACGUCAUACAGGGAACAUUCACGGGUAUACCUGGAGAAGGUAAUAGAACUCUAAUGAUUGAGAUACCGAAAGGAGCAUAUAAUAUUCAAAUUUGGUUUAACUAUUGGAUAAUGGAAAAUAACUUCAUAGAGAUGUACGAUAAAGAUGACGUCCCCGUUAUCGUCAGCCAUGUUGGAAGCAGCUGGGUGUGGAACACGGAUGAGAGUAAAAAUCCGGUCAAUUUUGCGAACACCUACUGGCAUUAUAAAUAUAUUGAGUACUUGUAUACAACGGGACCUAUCUCCGAGCCUGCUAUCAUCAAGCUUUAUCAAAAGAACGCUUUGGAAAACAAAGGCAUUCAUUACGCUUAUUCUUUACCCAAAACUGGCGAAUGUAAGAAUAGCGGGACAUACAACCUUAAACUGCGUACUUGUGACUGUCCUACUGGAUUUUACGGGGCUGACUGUGUCAGUCGCUGUAAUAUUUACUGCUUCAAUGGCGUGGCAUUGGACGAGUCCACCUGCACGUGCCAAUGUAAUGAACACCAGACGGGACGUUAUUGUAAGUGUGAAACAGGACAUACCGGGAUAGACUGCACAGAAAAAAAGACUGAAUGAUUACCAAUGUCUGAAUAAAAUUU